GUCCCGGAGCGGAGUGGGAGGCCGGACCGGGGAAGCCGAGCGACGGCGGUGGCGGUGGGGUUGGCCAUGGCGGAGCUGGUGCAGGGGCAGAGCGCUCCGGUGGGCUUGAAGGCUGAGGACUUCGUGGAUGCCCUGCACCGGGUCCGGCAGAUUGCUGCUAAAAUCGAUUCAAUUCCUCACUUGAAUAAUUCCACACCCCUGGUGGACCCCUCCGUGUACGGAUACGGAGUACAGAAACGGCCCUUGGACGAUGGAGGUAACCAGUUAGGGGCCUUGGUACAUCAAAGGGCAGUAAUAACAGAAGAAUUCAAGGUGCCUGAUAAAAUGGUUGGAUUUAUUAUUGGCAGGGGAGGUGAGCAGAUUUCACGAAUUCAAGCAGAAUCUGGGUGCAAAAUCCAGAUUGCCUCAG
rnacentral:lncRNA from 1 species